AACUUUUUAUUAGUUAGUUAUUGAUAAUGUUUCCUAGAAAAGCUCCAACUGCUUAUCUUUUUAAGAGAAAUAUAAAAUUACCUGUACCAUAAACCGACACAGGUAGGUGUGAGUAGAGAAUACUCAGGGGCGCGAGAUAACUCUCUCUAAGGAACUCGGCAAAAUAGCCCCGUAACUUCGGGAGAAGGGGUGCCUCUCAGCAAUGAGAGGCCGCAGUGACCAGGCCCAGGCGACUGUUUACCAAAAACACCGGUCUCCGCAAAGUCGUAAGACAAUAUAUGGGGGCUGACGCCUGCCCAGUGCCGGAAGGUGAAGGAAGUUGGUUAUUCAUACCGAAAGGAGAAGAAGCUGAUAACCGAAGCCCCGGUGAACGGCGGCCGUAACAAUGACGGUCCUAAGGUAGCGAAAUUCCUUGUCGGGUAAGUUCCGACCCGCACGAAAGGCGUAACGAUCUGGGCGCUGUCUCGGAGAGAGGCUCGGUGAAAUAGACAUGUCCGUGAAGAUGCGGACUUCCCGCGCCUGGACAGAAAGACCCUAUGAAGCUUGACUGUAGCCUGAGAUUGAGUUUGGGUUCAUCUUGCGCAGCCUAGGUGGGAGGUGUUGAUAAUUUACUUGCGGGUAAAUUGGAGCCAUCAGUGAGAGACCACUCUGGACGAGCUAGAAUUCUAAUGGCGAUCCUUGAAUCAGGACGCUUGACAGUCUCAGGUGGGCAGUUUCUUUGGGGCGAAGACCUCCUAAAAGGUAACGGAGGUGUGCAAAGGUUCCUUCAGGCUGGACGGAAAUCAGUCGAAGAGUGUAAAGAUAUAAGGGAGCUUGACUGCAAGACCUACAAGUCGAGCAGGGGCGAAAGCCGGCCUUAGUGAUCCGACGGUUCCGUGUGGAAGGGCCGUCGCUCAACGGAUAAAAGUUACUCUAAGGAUAACAGGCUGAUCUUCCCCAAGAGUUCACAUCGACGGGAAGGUUUGGCACCUCGAUGUCGGCUCGUCGCAUCCUGGGGCGGUAGUACGUCCCAAGGGUUGGGCUGUUCGCCCAUGAAAGCGGUACGUGAGCUGGGUUCAGAACGUCGUGAGACAGUUUGGUCCAUAUCCGGUGUGGGCGUUAGAGCAUUGAAAGGAGUUUCCAUUGUACGAGAGGACUUGGAAGGCUAUACCUCUGGUGUACCAGUUAUUGUACCUACGGUAAACGCUGGGUAGCUAUGUAUAGAGCGGAUAACUGCUGAAAGCAUCUAAGUAGGAAGCCCACCUUAAGAUGAGUGCUCUCUAAGGUCACGGCAAGACUAGCCGGUUGAAAGGUGUUCAGUGUAAGGUUAGUAAUGGCCUCAGCUUAGACAUACUUAUAGACCUUCGAUUUU
rnacentral:rRNA from 1 species